UGGGGAAUAUUGGACAAUGGGCGAAAGCCUGAUCCAGCCAUGCCGCGUGUGUGAAGAAGGUCUUCGGAUUGUAAAGCACUUUAAGUUGGGAGGAAGGGCAUUUACCUAAUACGUAAGUGUUUUGACGUUACCGACAGAAUAAGCACCGGCUAACUCUGUGCCAGCAGCCGCGGUAAAUA
rnacentral:rRNA from 1 species